rnacentral:sRNA from 1 species
CAAGGUUAACGUAGGAUAGUCGCAAAUCUUUGAUGAGAAAGUUGAUAGUAAGAUUCAUAACAGCAUUUUUAGCACUUGUGAGUACUACUGAUAUAAAAAUAAGCUAUGACAACUGCUCGCUGUAAGAACUUGGAAAUUCCUACAUGGUGUUGGUUUUCAUUAGCAUUAUAUGUUUGUUAGUUGAUGGUACCUAACUUCAUCCUGGUGACAAAUAAAUUAAAACAACAUCACAAGCUUAUGGGCAUCUUCAAAUUGAGUCUGCAAAUCAACUUAUGAGUGGUGACUUGAGUAAUAUGUUGCUUGGUAGAUGGGCCUAUCAGCACAUUAAAGGUGCCUCAGCAGGUGUUGGAUGGUAAAAAUAUAUUUACCAUAAUGCUAUACCCUUUUCUAGAUCUUUCCAUGUUGUGAAGGUUGAUCUUUAGCAAGCUACCAACUAAUGAUAUUUUUGAGAAAGCAAGGGCUUUUAUGAUUCAUCUUUUUUAGAAUGUUGUGUGGCGAGUAGAAUUUGGUCUUGGUUACUUGAUCUACUAAGGAUUCCAAUUCUUAUUCAUUCCUUGCAUAAUGUUUGGACAAUCUUUCACUUGGAAUGGAACAACAGGAAUGAGAUCAGAUUUGAUAACAGAAAGAUGAACUAUCUUGGCAUUAAAAGUAGCACUUUUUUUUCCUUUGUUAACACAGCUGGAACUUGUUGCUCUGGUUCCAAGCAUAAUAAUAUACAUGAGCUCUCUCUUUUGAAAUUAUUUUUCUCUUGGAGCUCAUUCCAAAAGUCAAUUAAAGUUACUCAAG